GGAAGUAAGGGCACAAAGUGAAGUUUGAUGUACCAGUUUCCCGCUUCUUCGACUUUCCCUCCCGUAAUUGGCAAGGCAGUCAUUCUUCAGUCUCGGAGCACGAUCUUCUCUGUCAAACGAUUUUCCGCUCCACAAUCUGAAACUGAAUUGGAAACGAUUUACAAUCGCUUCAAUCUGCAAGCUAUGUACCACAGGCGUCUCUGAAAGUGGACAACACUGCGUCAGAUUCUGCAGUUGCUCUCGAGUUAUCUGGUUUUUGCCUGCGUGAGAACUCUGUGAAGGAUUUCUGAAGUCUUUCAGAGUUGAGGGCGUUGCAGGAGGAGGAACUGCUUAUAGAUGUAACAAUGGAAGCUUAAAUACAGCAGAGCUAGUAGAUGUGUGGUACAUACCAAGCACAGAAAACGUUGGACCUCAGGAAAUGCCUAGGCGUUUAGAACCUGUAAGUACGAAAUAAUAUAUAAUUUGCAGCUUGUUGGUUAAUGAACGAGCUUAAUUCACGGAAUAAUGUCUUAAUUAGUCUAACUAAUAAAACAGGAACUAGUAAUCGAACUUGAUGCGGAGAAACCAGGAAUAUCCUUUUUGCUUACAUAUUGUCAAAUGAUUGUACCUGACAAUUGAUAUGUUCUUUGGAAUUUUCUUUCUUAAUGACUUUUGUUUACAUCAUUCAUGGAAUUGCAAGACCUACCUCAUCUUUGCAGAUAAAUUUUUGGCAGCUAGAAAUGAGAAAGUGUUCAAAUUGCUAUGCGCCCAAAAUUAUCUUGGGGAGGUUCUGGCGUGGCUGGAAUUUUGCAGGCUUUUUCUGGUGAUCUAUGCUCCACAUCUGGUGAUCGGUUAGUGUCACUAGACAAACAAAGUUUCAUAUGUUGUUCCCCUGAUAAACAUGCAGGUGUGGUUGUGUGCAGGCUAGUUGUUGGACAAUCAUUGAGCCAUUGAAUAUGGAACAUUAUGAUUCUGUUCGCAGUAUGUCUAGUGAGAUUCGUGCUUAUGCUCCAGAUACUCGUGUAUUGACAACAUACUACUCUGAUAAACUUCCAUCACCAUGUGGGAUGUUUUUGUCACGGCUGAGCCUGGAGAGUAGUGGUCCUGGGCCUCCUGACCUGGUUAGAAAUAGGUAGAUUUUCAUUUAUUCUACAUGUCAUGCAGUGUCGUUAGCUGUUCAUAGCUACCAUCUACCUCAUCUGUUGCCAAUUAACUGGCUUAAAAUGAUUAAUAUUUUACAUUUCAUAAAGCAUAUAAAACUCUAAAAAAAGUUUUUUUUUUAAAUAAAAAAAAAGAACAAUGUAGUCAAUAAUAAUAAUUGAUCAGCCUCCCUCUCAUAGACAAAACUCUCUCAGCUCUUGGUAACAUAAUUGACCUUUACAUGAAUAGGCUUAGACUCUGUAAAAUGCAUUAUAUGAACAACAUAAGGACAAAUGAGAAGAAAAAAAAGAAGGUAAAGAGCAUGGAAAGAUGAAAGCUUUUUUAGUUGGAAGUUAUGGCUAUCUUUCUCAGUCCCACAAGCCAUCAAAGAUAUCUAAUUGACAAAUCAAAUAGGUGAUGAUUACUUGUGCAUCUUUUGCUCUUCUUGCCUUUUGAAAUUGUGCUACUCAUCCCCUACAGCUGUUUAUUUUUGUGUAGUCAAUGUUGAGCUAGGCCCCAUUAGAAUUUAGAGCCUCAAAAUGUGAACUUCUUUAGUUUUAAAUUUCAUGUGUUUUUUUCUUCUUCUUUCUUUCUCUCAAGCACUUUUUCUAUUAGUGUAUUUGAAACCAGUUCUUUCUGAUGU